rnacentral:rRNA from 1 species
UGAAGAUAAGACGGAUUAGCGGCGGACGGGUGAGUAACACGUGAGUAACCUGCCUUUUACACAGGGAUAGCCUCGGGAAACCGGGAUUAAAACCUGAUGAAACUAUCAAAUCACAUGAUUAAGAAAGUUAAAACUCCGGUGGUAAAAGAUGGACUCGCGUCCCAUUAGCUAGUUGGUGAAGGUAACGGCCCACCAAGGCAACGAUGGGUAGCCGGCCUGAGAGGGUGAACGGCCACAUUGGAACUGAGAAACGGUCCAAACUCCUACGGGAGGCAGCAGCU